GACAGAGGAUGCAAGCAUUAUCCGGAAUGAUUGGGCGUAAAGCGUCUGUAGGUUGCUUUUCAAGUCUGCCGUCAAAUCCCAGGGCUCAACCCUGGACAGGCAGUGGAAACUAACAAGCUGGAGUACGGUAGGGGCAGAGGGAAUUUCCGGUGGAGCGGUGAAAUGCAUUGAGAUCGGAAAGAACACCAACGACAAAAGCACUCUGCUGGGCCGACACUGACACUAAGAGACGAAAGCUAGGGGAGCAAAUGGG
rnacentral:rRNA from 1 species